UCUGUAAUUAAAAUAUUAAUAAUAAUAAGUAAUAGAAUAUAAAAUAGCUAUUAAAAUUAUGUUUUAAAAACUAUAUUAAUAAGGAAAACGGCUCAGUACUUUAUUGAAUGAAAUGAGCAGAUUUAGCUACAUACUGCAUGAUAUUGUUUUUAUAAAAGAGACUGAGGAAUUUAUACCUGGUAGGGCAGAGUAGUGAUUAACUUAAAGAGAUGUGAUGAUGGGUGACUUUUAUUUUAUAUAUAUUUUGCUAACCUGAAUCUUCCGAGUUUUUCCUAAAAUGAAUAUGUCUCACUUAUGCAACAACAACACAUAAAGUUAUAACAGAGUAUUUUACAAAGAGUUUCGAUCUCCUCCCUGGUAAGAUGGGGGUAUCUGUUAGGAUUAGAUACGAUAAAGCAUUUAACAUUCAGCACAGGGCUUGGCAUACAGUUAUGCGUCAUUAAAUGUUAACCACUACAGCAUUAACUACCACUGCUACUCAAAUUACUAGUCCUGUUAUGGCAAUAGAACUACCCCCACACCAAGACUAUCACUACAACUACUGCUGCUGGUUCUGAUUCAGGGCCAGGACUUGAAAGGACUGGCUGGAGCUGUGAUUUUGGUUUUCAGGACACAGUCCAAGUAAGAGGCUUUGCUUCAGUAGCAAAUUUGGGAUGCGAGGCAGAGUCAGAGACUAGAAAAUGAAGUAGAGACUCAGUUCUCAGUCCAGCUCCCGGCCUUGGUGAUGUCAAGUUCAGUGCCAGAGUGCUGGGUUGGAGCUGCAGGUGUGCUAGGUGAAGGCCUGGGCGUGGGAGGAGGGGCUGCAGAGGCUGGGGGCUCCUUGGAGAGCCUCACUGAGCCUAUGAUUGUCAUGAAGGCCCAGUCAUGCUUGCCUUUGUCCGUACUGCUCGAACACACAGCAACUGAGAAUCCUGCUCUCUCGUGAGCCCACCCGGUAGAGCUCUUGCCUACCAAAACAGAUCCCCUUUGAUACUUUGUACCACUUCCCCCCAAGCUGUUACCCAGCUAGGGGUUCUCUUUCCAAAGCCAGGCCUUAUCCAAUCUUAGCACUGCUUCCCAAGUCUGCAACGGUUGGUGGUGGUCUCUGGACCAUGUUCCUCUUCCAAAAUUGUCUCCCACUAUGAAGUAUCAGACUGCCCCACAGCAUCUUAGCCUAUGCCAGCUAAAUCCAACCACUUCUGGCUAUUUAAUUGAUUUGUUAGCAGUAGGAUCCCUACAACUUAAUGCCCCAAUGAUGAUGAUUAUGCAUUCUUUGUCUUUGAUAGCAUUUUCUUUCUUUUUUUCAAUGUUUAUUUAUUUUUGAGAUAUAUAUAUAGAGAGAAAAAGUAUGAGUGGGAGAGGGGCAGAGAGAGAGAGAGAGAGAGGGAUACACAGAAUCGGAAGCAGGAUCCAGGCUCUGAGCUAUCAGCACAGAGCCCCACGUGGGGCUCGAACCCACGAAUCGUGAGAUCAUGAUCUGAGCCGAAGUCGAAUGCUUAUCCAACUGAGCCACCCUGAUGCCACUUUGAUAGCAUUUUCUGAGAACACAUGCAGUGUGGCAGGAUGCAGAGGCAUCUGAAAAGAGCUUGAUUUUUUGUUUGUUUUAAAGAAGUUGACGCUUAUUUUGAGGUGUAAUGCAUGUGCAAUAAAACACAUAACUAUUAAGUGUGCAGUUUGAUGAAUCUUGACAGUUACAUACACACAUAUUAUACCAUUCUAAUCAAGUUAUGGAAUAUUUCCAUUGCCCUGGGAAGUUUUUGUGUGCCCGUUUCCAGCGUGCCUCCCCCACCCCAUGAAAUACAACCAUUGUUCUAAUUUUUAUCACCAUAGAUUAGUUUCGCUGUUUCUAGAAUUUCAUGUAAACGGAAUUGUUAUUUUUGUUUAACUUCUUUUUUUAAAUAUAUAUUUUUUAAUUUUUUAAUUUACUUUGAGACAGAGAGAGAGACAGCAAGUGAGCAGGGGAGGGGCAGAGAGAGAGAGGGAGAACGAGAAUCCCAAGCAGGCUCCUCGCUCUCAGCACAGAGCCUGAUGUGGGGCUCCAACUCACGAAUAGUGAGUUCAUGACCUGAGCUGAAACCACCAGUCGGACGCUUAAUCGACUGAGCCACCCAGGCGCCCCUUGUCUUAACUUCUUUUGCCCAACAUGACGUUUCUGAGAUUCGUCCCGUGUUGCUGCCUAUACCCAUUUCUUUUUGUUAAGUGUAUUCUACCAUGUGAGUAUAUGACAAUUUGUUUAUCCGUUCACUUGUUGGUGGAAAUGUGGGUGGUUUUCAGUUUUUGGCUAAUCGUGUCGAAGCUCCUGCGAACAUUCCUGUCAAAGUGUUUGGGACACAUGUUAUUAUUUUUCUUAAAUAAAUACUUAGGAGUGGAAUUGCUUGGCCAUAGGGUAGGUGUAUAGUUAGCCUUCUAAGAGACUCCCAGAGAGUUUGCCAAAGUAGUUGUAACAUUUCAGACUUGCACCAGUGAUUUAUGAGCUUUCCAGUUCUUCUAUGCUAGGGUUUGUGGUUGUCAGCCUUUACGAUUUUAGCCAGGCUGUUUUAUUAACCAUGUGUUUUUAUUUAUUUUUAGCCAUGUGUUUUUCAUUUUUUUAUUUUUUAACAUUGAUUGAGAGAGAAAGAGAGUGGGGGAGGGACAGACACAAACAUACACACACACACACACACACACACACGCACAGAAUCCGAAGCAGGCUCGUCUUUGAACUGUCAGCACAAAGCCUGAUGUGGGCUUGAACCCACGAACUGUGAGACCAUGACCUGAGCUGAAGUGGGAUGCUUAAUGGACUGAGCCACCCAUGGCUCCCCUAGCCAUGUGUUUCAUUAAUGCAGCACUGCCCUUAGACAGAAGCAAGGCUGUCCAGGGUCCCCAUCUCAGGGGGCCCUGUGCUUUGGAUUGCCUUUCUCAUGAAUUUUAAGUCCCCCUCCUGUGCCUUGGACCAGUGAGCCUGGCAGUGCCAUCUUGGGGGGGGGGCGGGGAUGCCUCCAGACUAGACCUGGUCCUGUAUGGAUCCCUGCCACCAGAACAGUGCUGAUACACUGGUUUAGAGUGACUGUCGAAUUGGAUAUGUUCAGGCCUCUGGGACAUUAAUAUGGCUCACUGCCAACCUUUGGGGCUUGAGUGUUUUGUGUGGGCCUGUGGGUAGUCUCUCCUCUGUUCACAUUGCUACCAUGGUGCUGCUUCCAUUCUAUAAUGCUCAAAAGGGCAGAGGCAUGGGCAGGCAUCCUACCCUAGGUCACCCCCCACCCCCCGUACUCCAAGGAAAGUCAACCCAACCCCUCUGUAGGCUCUGAACUAUGGGGUCCUCUCUUGCCUGCGGCCAAUAUGGACAUGUGUGCUUUUGGCUCAGUCUUUUUUUUUUUUUUUUAACAGUUUUGAGAUAUAAUUCACUAUCAUACAGUUCACCUAUUUGAACUGUGCGAGUCAAUGGUGUUUAGCAUAUUCCCAGAGUUGUGCAACCAUCACUAUAAUUUUAGAGCAUUUUUGUCACCCCCCCCUCAGAGAGACUGGGUGGCCAUUAGCAGUCACUCCCUAUUUUCCCCAUCUCCCCAGCCCUAGGCAACCAUUAAUCUACUUUCUGUCUCUAUGGCUUUGCCUAUUGUGGGUAUUUCAUACAAAUGGAGUCAUAUGAUAUGUGGUCCUUUGUGACUGGCUUCUCUGAUUCAGUGUAAUGCUUCUGAGGUUUAUCCAUGUUGUACCAUACCAUAUAUUAGUACUCCAUUCCUUUUCAUUGCCAAACAAUGUCCCAUUGUAUGACUAUACCACAUAAAAUUAAAAAAAAAAGUUUUUUGAGAUAUAUUAAUAUACCAUACAAUUCACUUAUUUGGCAUGUAUAAUUCAGUAGGUUUUACUACAUUCACAGUGUAUGCAACCAUCACGGCAGUCAGUUUUAGAACAUUUUCAUUAUUGCGCCCCCAAAAAUGCCCACACUCCUUAACCAUCUCCCCUCAUUUUCCCUCAAACCCUCCCAGCCCUAAGCCAUAGCCAGUCUACUUCCUGUUUCUAUGGAUUUGCUUACUCUCAAUAUUUCAUAUGCAUGGAAUCUUACAAUAUGUAGUCCUGUAACUGUAGUCCUCUUUGACUCAGCAUCAUGUUUUCUUGGUUUAUUCAUAUUGUACUUCAUUCUUUCGUAUUGCUAAGUAAUAUUCCAUUGCCUGGCUAAACCACAUUUUAUUUACUUAUGUAUCAGUUGAUGGACAUUUAGAUUGCUUCAUCUUUUGGGCUGUUAUGAGUAAUGCUGUUAUCAACAUUCGUGUCCAGUUGUACAACUUUUUUGUGCAUGGACAUAUGUUUUUAUUUCUCUUGGGUGUAGACCUAGAAGCAGGAUUAUUGGGUCAUGUGGUAAUUUUAUGUUUAACCUUUUUAAGAGCUGUUAGACUGUUUUCCAGAGUAACUGCAUUUUACAUUCUCACUAGCAGUACACAUGAACACUAGUUAGUAUCUGCCUUUUUAUUUAAAAAAAAAAAUUUUUUUUAACGUUUAUUUUUCAGACAGAGACACAGCAUGAACGGGGGAGGGGCAGAGAGAGAGGGAAACACAGAAUCUGAAGCCAUCAGCCCAGAGCCUGACGCGGGGCUCGAACCCGCGGACCGCGAGAUCAUGACCUGAGCAAAGUCGGACGCUUAACCGACUGAGCCACCCAGGCGCCCCAGUAUCUGCCUUUUUAAAAAACGUUUCAUUUAAGUAAUCUCUACAGCCCACAUGGGGCUUGAACUCACAACCCUGAGAUUAAAAGUCACAGGUUCUUCUGACAGAGCCAGCCAGGUACCCCUAUUACCUGUCUUUUUAAAAUUAUAGCCAUUCUAGCCGGUGGUAUCUCACUGUGUUUUUUUUUUUUUUUAAUGUUUAUGUAUUUUUGAGAAACAGAGAGACUGAGCAGGCGAGGGGCAGAGAGAGGAAGACACAGAAUCCGAAGCAGGCUCCAGGCUCUGAGCUGUCAGCACAGAGCCCGACAUGGGGCUUAGACUCACAGACCACGAGAUCAUCACCUGAGCUGAAGUCGGAUGCCCAACUGACUGAGCCACCCAGAGACAGACAGAGCGUGAGCGGGAGAGGAGCAGAGAGAGAGAGGGAGACACAGAAUCUGAAACAGUCUCCAGGCUCUGAGCUGUCAGCACAGAGCCUGACGUGGGGCUCGAACUCAGACUGCAAGAUCAUGACCUGAGCCGAAGUCGGACGCUCAACCGACGGAGCCACCCAGGUGCCCCUGUUUUCCUUUUUUUUUAAGCGCUAAAUCUCUUUCAGUUUCUAUCCUUUUGGUCACUCUCUGACGUCUUCAAACAACUGUUUUUUAUAUUUUGUUAUAAACACAUAUACAGUAGUCCUCCCUUAUCUGUUGGGGAUGUCUGAGAACACAGUGCUGAACCUAUAUAUAUACUACGUUUUUCUCUAUACAUACAUACCUAUAAUAAAGUUUAGUUUAUAAAUUAAGCACAGUAAGAGAUUAAUAGCAAUCACUAAUAGUAAAAUAGAACAAUUAUAACAAUCUACUGUAAUAAAAGAUGUGAACAUGGUCUCUUUAUUUCUUUCUCGCUCUCUCCCAUCCCCGCUCACAACACAAAAUGUGUUGUGAUGAUGUGAGAUGAUGAAAUGCCUCCAGGAUGUGAUGAAGUGACAUGAAUGGCAUAAGCACUGCAAUGUAGCGUUAGGCUACCUUCUGAGCAUACAUCAAAAAAGGAUCAUCUAUUUUCGGACUGUGGUUGACCACAGUAAUCUCUACACCCCACAUGGGGCUCGAACUCAUGACCUCAAGAUCAAGAGUCG